GGGCCCGCACAAGCGGUGGAGUAUGUGGUUUAAUUCGAUGCAACGCGAAGAACCUUACCAGGGCUUGACAUCCUGCGAACCUCUGGGAAACCGGAGGGUGCCUUCGGGAACGCAGUGACAGGUGGUGCAUGGCUGUCGUCAGCUCGUGUCGUGAGAUGUUGGGUUAAGUCCCGCAACGAGCGCAACCCACGUCUUUAGUUGCCAGCAUUUAGUUGGGCACUCUAGAGAGACCGCCGGUGACAAACCGGAGGAAGGUGUGGAUGACGUCAAGUCAUCAUGCCCCUUACGUCCUGGGCUACACACGUACUACAAUGCUACGGACAAAGGGCAGCAAGUUCGCGAGGAC
rnacentral:rRNA from 1 species